rnacentral:rRNA from 1 species
GACGAACGCUGGCGGCGUGCCUAAUACAUGCAAGUAGAACGCUGAAGGAGGAGCUUGCUCUUCUGGAUGAGUUGCGAACGGGUGAGUAACGCGUAGGUAACCUGCCUGGUAGCGGGGGAUAACUAUUGGAAACGAUAGCUAAUACCGCAUAAGAGUAGAUGUUGCAUGACAUUUGCUUAAAAGGUGCAAUUGCAUCACUACCAGAUGGACCUGCGUUGUAUUAGCUAGUUGGUGGGGUAACGGCUCACCAAGGCGACGAUACAUAGCCGACCUGAGAGGGUGAUCGGCCACACUGGGACUGAGACACGGCCCAGACUCCUACGGGAGGCAGCAGUAGGGAAUCUUCGGCAAUGGACAGAAGUCUGACCGAGCAACGCCGCGUGAGUGAAGAAGGGUUUCGGACCGUAAAGCUCUGUUGUAAGAGAAGAACGAGUGUGAGAGUGGAAAGUUCACACUGUGACGGUAGCUUACCAGAAAGGGACGGCUAACUACGUG